UACGUAGGGUGCAAGCGUUAAUCGGAAUUACUGGGCGUAAAGCGUGCGCAGGCGGUUGUGCAAGACCGAUGUGAAAUCCCCCGGGCUUAACCUGGGAAUGGCAUUGGUGACUGCACGGCUAGAGUGUGUCAGAGGGGGGUAGAAUUCCACGUGUAGCAGUGAAAUGCGUAGAGAUGUGGAGGAACACCGAUGGCGAAGGCAGCCCCCUGGGCUAACACUGACGCUCAGGCACGAAAGCGUGGGGAGCAAACAGG
rnacentral:rRNA from 1 species